UUACAAAGAAAAGGAGUCGGAGCCAGGGCGGUUAUGUGGGACGUGGAUGCAGACGCAGGCGGAGGCGCCAACUGCGGGGAUGGCUAGGGUGAUCACAGCUGCCCCGGGGGCGCGGACACCCCGGCAGCUCCGGCCAGCGGAGCUCCCCCACCGCACGUGUCAGGUCCUAGCAGAAACGCAGCGUCUGUGGCCAAGGGCCAGGAAUGCGGCCGCACAUAUUCACCCUCAGCGUGCCUUUCCCGACCCCCUUAGAGGUGGAAAUUGCCCAUGGGUCCCUGGCUCCAGAUGCCGAACCCCACCAAAGGGUGGUUGGGAAGGAUCUCACAGUGAGCGGCAGGAUCCUGGCCGUCCGCUGGAAAGCUGAAGACUGUUGCCUGCUCCGAAUUUCCCUUAUCAACUUUCUCGACCAUCUUUCUCUGGUGGUGCGGACCCUGCAGCACUUUGGGCCCCCAGUUUCCCGCUAAGCCUGGCCUGGGAAAAUGGG
rnacentral:lncRNA from 1 species